GAUGAACGCUAGCUACAGGCUUAACACAUGCAAGUCGAGGGACCGGCGCACGGGUGAGUAACACUUACCUAACCUGCCCUUUACUCGGGGAUAGCCUUGCGAAAGAACGAUUAAUACCCGCAGUAAAUGAUGGGGAUGCGUUCCGUUAGGUUGUUGGUGAGGUAACGGCUCACAAAGCCUUCGAUGGAUAGGGGUUCGGAGAGGAAGGUCCCCCACAUUGGAACUGAGACACGGUCCAAACUCCUACGAGAGGCAGCAGUGAGGAAGAUUGGUCAAUGGGCGUUAGCCUGACCCAGCCAAGUAGCGUGAAGGAUGAAGGCUUAUGGGUCGUAAACUUCUUUUAUAUAAGAAUAUGUAUUAUAUGAAUAAGGAUCGGCUAACUCCGUGCCAGCAGCCGCGGUAAUUC
rnacentral:rRNA from 1 species